AGACAGCAUAUGCCAGAGACCAUGAGUGUGUCAGAGGACCCCAACUGCAGUCACCGAGAUUGCAGAAAAGCUGCAAGAAUAAUACAAGAAUUCCUGAAUACCCAUCACCAAGAUUCCAAAUGUACCUGAUGGAAGUGGUCUCUGGAAGGGCAAGACCUUGAAGGAGCUGACAGCUGGAAGGUAUCUACGUAGUCCUCACAGCUGGGCAACAAGCCCUUCCUUGAAGGAGUUCUGGGCUGUGCAUCUCGGUGUCUGCCACAUUUUGGGAAGAAGGUGAC